rnacentral:rRNA from 1 species
GCGUACCUUUUGUAUAAUGGGUCAGCGACUUAUAUUCUGUAGCAAGGUUAACCGUAUAGGGGAGCCGUAGGGAAACCGAGUCUUAACCGGGCGUUAAGUUGCAGGGUAUAGACCCGAAACCCGGUGAUCUAGCCAUGGGCAGGUUGAAGGUUGGGUAACACUAACUGGAGGACCGAACCGACUAAUGUUGAAAAAUUAGCGGAUGACCUGUGGCUGGGGGUGAAAGGCCAAUCAAACCGGGAGAUAGCUGGUUCUCCCCGAAAGCUAUUUAGGUAGCGCCUCGUGAAUUCAUCUCCGGGGGUAGAGCACUGUUUCGGCUAGGGGGCCAUCCCGGCUUACCAACCCGAUGCAAACUGCGAAUACCGGAGAAUGUUAUCACGGGAGACACACGGCGGGUGCUAACGUCCGUCGUGAAGAGGGAAACAACCCAGACCGCCAGCUAAGGUCCCAAAGUCAUGGUUAAGUGGGAAACGAUGUGGGAAGGCCCAGACAGCCAGGAUGUUGGCUUAGAAGCAGCCAUCAUUUAAAGAAAGCGUAAUAGCUCACUGGUCGAGUCGGCCUGCGCGGAAGAUGUAACGGGGCUAAACCAUGCACCGAAGCUGCGGCAGCGAACGUAUCACUUAAAGCGAUUCAGCGGGUUACGAUUGACGGAGCGAAGCGACGUCAAAGCGUAUACAAAGUCGAGUCGGUUUAAGGAUACGUUCGUUGGGUAGGGGAGCGUUCUGUAAGCCUGUGAAGGUGUGUCGUGAGGCAUGCUGGAGGUAUCAGAAGUGCGAAUGCUGACAUAAGUAACGAUAAAGCGGGUGAAAAGCCCGCUCGCCGGAAGACCAAGGGUUCCUGUCCAACGUUAAUCGGGGCAGGGUGAGUCGACCCCUAAGGCGAGGCCGAAAGGCGUAGUCGAUGGGAAACGGGUUAAUAUUCCCGUACUUGGUGUUACUGCGAAGGGGGGACGGAGAAGGCUAUGUUGGCCGGGCGACGGUUGUCCCGGUUUAAGCGUGUAGGUGUGUGUUCCAGGUAAAUCCGGUUCACUUUAACACUGAGGCGUGACGACGAGGCACUACGGUGCUGAAGCAACAAAUGCCCUGCUUCCAGGAAAAGCCUCUAAGCAUCAGGUAACAUCAAAUCGUACCCCAAACCGACACAGGUGGUCAGGUAGAGAAUACCAAGGCGCUUGAGAGAACUCGGGUGAAGGAACUAGGCAAAAUGGUGCCGUAACUUCGGGAGAAGGCACGCUGACACGUAGGUGAAGUGAUUUACUCAUGGAGCUGAAGUCAGUCGAAGAUACCAGCUGGCUGCAACUGUUUAUUAAAAACACAGCACUGUGCAAACACGAAAGUGGACGUAUACGGUGUGACGCCUGCCCGGUGCCGGAAGGUUAAUUGAUGGGGUCAGCGCAAGCGAAGCUCCUGAUCGAAGCCCCGGUAAACGGCGGCCGUAACUAUAACGGUCCUAAGGUAGCGAAAUUCCUUGUCGGGUAAGUUCCGACCUGCACGAAUGGCGUAAUGAUGGCCAGGCUGUCUCCACCCGAGACUCAGUGAAAUUGAACUCGCUGUGAAGAUGCAGUGUACCCGCGGCAAGACGGAAAGACCCCGUGAACCUUUACUAUAGCUUGACACUGAACAUUGAGCCUUGAUGUGUAG